GCUUGUCUCAAAGAUUAAGCCAUGCAUGUCUCAGUAUAAGUUUGUACAUGGCGAAACUGCGAAUGGCUCAUUAAAACAGUUAUCGUUUAUUUGGUGGUUGUUUACUACAUGGAUAACCUUGGUAAUUCUAAAGCUAAUACAUGCGCAAAAGCCUGACUUAUUGGAAAGGCUGCGUUUAUUAGAUACAGAACCAACCCAGGUUCGCCUGGACUCUGGCGAGUCAUGAUAACCGAGCGAAUGGCAUGGCAUCAGCUGGCGAUGCAUCAUUCAAGUUUCUGCCCUAUCAGCUUUGGAUGGUAGGGUAUUGGCCUACCAUGGCUUUAACGGGUAACGGAGAAUUAGGGUUCGAUUCCGGAGAGGGAGCCUGAGAAAUGGCUACCACAUCCAAGGAAGGCAGCAGG
rnacentral:rRNA from 1 species